UACAGAGGCCACAAGCGUUAGCCGGAAUCACUGGGCUUAAAGCGUGUGUAGGCGGGAUGGUAAGUACCUUGUGAAAUCCCACAGCUUAACUGUGGAAAUGCUUGGUAUACUGCCGUUCUUGAGUCACCUAGGGGCAGCUGGAACAGAUGGUGGAGCGGUGAAAUGCAUAGAUAUGUCACAGAACACCAAUUGCGAAGGCAGCUUACUAAAGUAUGAUUGACGCUGAGGCACGAAAGCGUGGGGAUCAAACAGG
rnacentral:rRNA from 1 species